CCCUACACCUCGUCGCCUGCACUCCCCCCCACCCUUUGCUCUCUUUCUCUCUUUCUCUCUAAAAUAUGAUUUCGUUGCAAGAAUAUAUUCGGUUCUCUCCCUCCCUCCCUCUCCUCCAAUUGUUGCCCCCCUCGUUGAAAAAUCUAUGGCCAUCGAGGGGUAGGUGAGGGUACUAACUCAGCUUGGAGAGCUUCUGCGUUUCUAACAAUUGCUUGCUCUGCUCUCCACCGGUUUUGGCUGUCGGUGUUGUGGUUGCUGCUGGUGCCUUGGCUUUCCAUUUGAGCACCAACUGCUCAGAGACGAGAGGCUUUUGAGGGGUGUUGGGGAGAGAAAGAAAUGAAGAGGGGGAAAGGAAACCGACGCUGGGAGAGGAGAAAGGAGCGAGGAUACUGCACGAGAGAGAAGUGAGAGAAAUGAUUUUUUUCUUUUUUAUCAUGCAUGCGGGUGUAGAAUGGAGUUUCCUAUACCUUCUACAUGGCAACACAUCAUUGGCGUGUGUAAAAAUUGGGAAUGCACCCGUCUGCCCAUGAGUUUUUUCCUUAACAUAAUUAGGCAUUGGUAAAGUUAGUCUAAUAAGACGAGUUGAGUUGAUGGCACCGUAUUAAUAUCUAGAUAGUAAUAUCUACAUUAUCUUACAAAUCAUAAUGCUAUUACUAUUAAAUUUAAUAGGAGGGUGGGGCUCUGUUUUUGAAUAAUUACCGAAUCUGGUACUUGAAGGUCCCAAAGGAGCAGAGGCACCUUGACAAUACACCUUUGAGAUUUAUUUAAUUAAUCUAAUGUGAGAGAGAGAGCUAGGCCCCACCUAUAAUGCUCAUUUUCCCCUUA